rnacentral:rRNA from 1 species
ACCGGAGUGGACGUACCGCUGGUGUUCCGGUUGUUUCGCCAGAAGCAUAGCUGGGUAGCUAAGUACGGAAAGGAUAACCGCUGAAAGCAUCUAAGUGGGAAGCCUCCUUAAAGAUAAGUAUUCCCUUGAAAUUCCUUGUAGACUACGAGGUUGAUAGGAUGGAAGUGUAAGUGUAGUAAUACAUUCAGCUGACCAUUACUAAUAAAUUGAAAGGUUUAAAAG